CUUUCAUUGUUUAUUCCAAUUCGUCUUCCUAUGGUGACCGAUCGUAGACAAACUUUCACGAGGUGAAUCCGAGAAACGGUCUAUCGAAGUUGCGAUUACGCCACGUUUUGUUUCUUCCGUUUGAAUUUCCCGCGCUACGCAAAAACGCGGUGCCGUUCGAAAUACCGGUGCGUGUAUUACACAUCCUUUCGAAUAAAUUUUACUAAUAUGAUCGCGACUGUUUGUGGAACGAUUAAGAUACUUAACGGAUGAUCUUCUAUGGAAUUUAUGGACGGCUUCCAAAAUCUGGACGAUUAUUGUCACUUAGAAUAUAACUGUUCGUGAAUUAAGUGAAGCUUGAUUAAUUGUGUAAACGAUGGAGUAUGCAUACACUCGAAAGUAACGGACUAAGCUCGAAAAUGUGGCAUAUAAAGUUUCUCUGAUCAUUGGAGAAUUGAUGCGAACAUUUGCGAUUUGAUAUCGAACCGCAUCGUAUUUCACAAUUGGUGCAAUGAACUUUAGAUUACGGAAGUCGCAACUAUAAAUUCUACUUUGAACCGUGACACGGCGCAUGCGCGGUGGUUGACCAAUAGCGGAAGCCCGGCGUUGCAACAGAUUUCCAAUGAUCCUGAAAAUAUUUAUUCCUGCUGAUUAACCCAGGUAUGUACAAGAACGAAAAGUAAAAAAUUAUUCAAAACCUCAAUCAGAGCCACAAACUGGUACAAGUGCAAGAAGAAAACUGAAAAUGGAAAGAAGUCAUAUAUUUAAAUAUAUUAACUUCUAAAUCAAGUGAUUUGUUGAAGAGAAACU